rnacentral:rRNA from 1 species
UACAGAGGGUGCGAGCGUUGUCCGGAAUCACUGGGCGUAAAGGGCGCGUAGGUGGCGACCCAAGUCCGUGGUGAAAGCUCGAUGCUCAACAUCGAGUCGGCCACGGAUACUGGGUUGCUCGAGCACUGUAGGGGCAGAUGGAAUUCCGGGUGUAGCGGUGGAAUGCGUAGAGAUCCGGAAGAACACCGGUGGCGAAGGCGGUCUGCUGGGCAGUUGCUGACACUGAGGCGCGACAGCGUGGGGAGCAAACAGG